rnacentral:tRNA from 2 species
GGAGGGUAUCCGAAUGGUUAGGGGGCUGAUUCGAAAUCAGUUGCCGGGUGACCGGUUGCGGGUUCGACUCCCGUGCCCUCCG